AUAAUUAAGUAGAUUACGUCAUUGUUUCAUGAUGAAAAUGUGUUAGUCUUCUUUAUCUUC
rnacentral:tRNA from 1 species